AACACGUACACAACCUUCCUAUAAGUGGGGAAUAGCCCAGAGAAAUUUGGAUUAAUACCCCGUAACAUAAUGACGUGGCAUCACAUUAUUAUUAUAGCUUCGGCGCUUAUUGAUGGGUGUGCGGCUGAUUAGAUAGUUGGCGGGGUAACGGCCCACCAAGUCUACGAUCAGUAGCUGAUGUGAGAGCAUGAUCAGCCACACGGGCACUGAGACACGGGCCCGACUCCUACGGGAGGCAGCAGUAAGGAAUAUUGGUCAAUGGACGCAAGUCUGAACCAGCCAUGCCGCGUGAAGGAUUAAGGUCCUCUGGAUUGUAAACUUCUUUUAUCUGGGACGAAAAAAGGCUAUUCUUAGUCACUUGACGGUACCAGAUGAAUAAGCACCGGCUAACUCCGUGCCAGCAGCCGCGGUAAUACAGAGGGUGCGAGCGUUAAUCGGAUUUACUGGGCGUAAAGCGUGCGUAGGUGGCCAAUUAAGUCAAAUGUGAAAUCCCCGAGCUUAACUUGGGAAUUGCAUUCGAUACUGGUUGGCUAGAGUAUGGGAGAGGAUGGUAGAAUUCCAGGUGUAGCGGUGAAAUGCGUAGAGAUCUGGAGG
rnacentral:rRNA from 1 species